rnacentral:misc_RNA from 1 species
AGCACCGUCCAUGCCAUCCGCAGGGUUCGCGAUUCGAACGUA